rnacentral:rRNA from 1 species
GUGCCAGCCGCCGCGGUAAUACGUAGGCAGCAAGCGUUGUUCGGAGUUACUGGGCGUAAAGAGUGUGUAGGCGGUUCUCUAAGUUUGGUGUGAAAUCUCCCGGCUUAACUGGGAGGGUGCGCCGAAAACUGGAGGGCUCGAGUAUGGGAGAGGAAAGCGGAAUUCCUGGUGUAGCGGUGAAAUGCGUAGAUAUCAGGAGGAACACCUGUGGUGUAGACGGCUUUCUGGACCAUCACUGACGCUGAGACACGAAAGCGUGGGGAGCAAACAGGAUUAGAUACCCGCGUAGUCC